AUUCACAGUCAUACCACUCUGGACCCUCCUGAUCUCAUUUGAUUUCAGAUGCUAAGCAGGGGCAGGUCAAGUUAGGACUUAGCUGGGGAAAAAUGUCAAAA
rnacentral:rRNA from 1 species